AUACUUAGCUGGCAGGGGAGAUUCCAUGAUCACAAGGUGGUUUUCCCAGGCGAGGCUUAUCCAUUGCACUCUGGAUGUGCUAAACCCUGCGAUUUCCCCAAAUGUGGGAAACUCGACUGCAUAAUUUGUGGUAGUGGGGGACUGCAUUCAUACUUUCCCCUG
rnacentral:snRNA from 1 species